rnacentral:lncRNA from 1 species
AACUAUCUUGGAGGGAGAUGACGGUCUUUUGGACUAGAGUGAGGACUGGAGAGAAGCAGAUCUGUGAUAUAUUUUGGAGGUAAAAUUGAUGGGGCUUAGUGGUGGUUUGGUUGUAGGGGACGGGAAAGAGGGUGGAAUCAAGGAUGACUUCCAGGUUUUUGAGCAGCUUCAGUUAUUUACUGGAAUGAAAAAGGCCAGAGAAAGAACCACACCAAAAAAAAA